ensembl:lncRNA
GAGCGGGAGAAGGGCGUGGAAGUCCAGCAGCUCCCAGCGGAUGCACGGGAGUUUCUCGCCGGCAGCUCCCGGCGGAUGCACGGGAGUUUCUCGCCGGCAGCUCCCAGCCGAUCUGCACGCGGGUCUGCCCGCGGAGAGGCCGCCGCGCCCCUCCCACCGCCGGCAGUGGCCGCGAGGACGCGGACCUGUUCUGGCUUGCUCUCGGAUCCACACCCUCCCGGCAGAGGGAGGCUCGCGCAGCUCCUCUCUGCGGUGGUUCUGCCCACCCACCCCACACCCACGCCGCUUAUUCCCCCUCCCUUUCCUCGCUCCCUUGGGACAGCGAGAGUUUCAGGCUUAAGACUUUUAUUUCACGGUGAAAAGCAAGGGACGAAGCCCAAACUUUGCUCGCCAUUUUCUACGUCUAUGGUUAAAAGAGGAAUUCAAAAUGGAGGCAGUGACUUAAACUUCCACCUCCAAGAAACACUUCAUAGUUAUUACCUCCAAGGAUAAUUUCAUAUUUUUAAUACAUUGUCAAGGACAGGCAACCAAUUCAGUUUUUCCCAUCCCAAGAAACUUACAGAUCUACUGCCUCUGCUUCUAGAAAGACUGGAACCUAACACCAGAAGGCAGCCAGCCUUCAGCCUGAAUGGAUGUUUGCUGAAGAUACCUUCUGCUGCUGCUCUGAAAUCCUCUCUUGGCUCCUAUCCUCCGGUCUGACACUCUAUUCAGCACAUUUCUCACUCUACAAACAGUCCUUAACUAUCAGCCGUCACACCUUUGCAUGUGGGUGCUGAAGAAAGACUGGAUACUUAUGUCACAUGAAAAUGUGAUUGCAUUAGCCUUGAAAGGUGUGAAUUUCUUGCUCACAAUUGAGGAAGAUCGUGGAAAAUAAAAUUUCAGCUAUCAAAUCACAAAUGCAAGGGAGAAAAGGACUUCUUUCAUGAAUAGAAGCAGAAGGUAGAUAAGCUCCAGGAGAAGGUGAAGGACAGGGAAGCCUGGCGUGCUGCAGUCCAUGGAGUCAUAAAGAAUCUGAUAUGACUGGGCAAGUGAACAACAACAACAACAGAUAAAAUGUGGUCUGAACAAGUAACGUAAUAACUAUCUGUG